rnacentral:rRNA from 1 species
GAUGAACGCUGGCGGCGUGCCUAAUACAUGCAAGUAGAACGCUGAAGGAGGAGCUUGCUCUUCUGGAUGAGUUGCGAACGGGUGAGUAACGCGUAGGUAACCUGCCUGGUAGCGGGGGAUAACUAUUGGAAACGAUAGCUAAUACCGCAUGACAACAGUUAUUGCAUGAUAACUGUUUAAAAGGGGCAACUGCUCCACUACCAGAUGGACCUGCGUUGUAUUAGCUAGUUGGUGAGGUAACGGCUCACCAAGGCGACGAUACAUAGCCGACCUGAGAGGGUGAUCGGCCACACUGGGACUGAGACACGGCCCAGACUCCUACGGGAGGCAGCAGUAGGGAAUCUUCGGCAAUGGACGGAAGUCUGACCGAGCAACGCCGCGUGAGUGAAGAAGGUUUUCGGAUCGUAAAGCUCUGUUGUAAGGGAAGAACGAGUGUGAGAGUGGAAAGUUCACACUGUGACGGUAUCUUACCAGAAAGGGACGGCUAACUACGUG